rnacentral:rRNA from 1 species
UACAGAGGUGGCAAGCGUUGUUCGGAAUUACUGGGCGUAAAGGGUUCGUAGGUGGCCAACUUAGUCAGACGUGAAAUCCCUCAGCUUAACUGGGGAACUGCGUCUGAUACUGGAUGGCUUGAGUGCAGGAGAGGAACGCGGAAUUCCAGGUGUAGCGGUGAAAUGCGUAGAUAUCUGGAGGAACACCGGUGGCGAAGGCGGCGUUCUGGACUGCAACUGACACUGAGGAACGAAAGCCAGGGGAGCAAACGGG